rnacentral:rRNA from 1 species
UACGGAGGGUGCAAACGUUGCUCGGAAUUAUUGGGCGUAAAGCGCACGUAGGCGGACCGAUAAGUCGGAUGUGAAAGCCCUCGGCUUAACCGAGGAAGUGCAUUCGAAACUAUCGGUCUUGAGUAUGGAAGAGGGUCGCGGAAUUCCCGGUGUAGAGGUGAAAUUCGUAGAUAUCGGGAGGAACACCAGUGGCGAAGGCGGCGACCUGGGCCAAUACUGACGCUGAGGUGCGAAAGCGUGGGGAGCAAACAGG